CCGAGUUAUACAACUCAUCAACCCUGUGAACAUACCUAUAACGUUGCCUCGGCGGGAACAGACGGCCCCGUAACACGGGCCGCCCCCGCCAGAGGACCCCCUAACUCUGUUUCUAUAACUGUUUCUUCUGAGUGCAACAAGCAAAUAAUUA
rnacentral:misc_RNA from 1 species